ensembl:ncRNA lncRNA:CR44393 long non-coding RNA:CR44393
UUUCAUUGUUUGGCUUUUAAGCUUCAAUUGUUUGCGGUUCGAAUGGUCAUAAAUAUUAAGUGUUGUCGGCUACCGGACAUCUCCUCUACUCAUUGCGAACUGGCGUGACCUUUGCGACGUGCUCAAUCAAGCGAACUAAGCGGUGGGGAUCAAUAAAGGGUUCCCAAAGUAGGGUACUAGACGAAAAGUAAAGCUACUUAGUGUGCCAAGCGAAGGAAAAGGAAGCAUGAUGUUGGAUAUUUGUGGUUGUCCUGGCAGACCGAUGAAGAUAUAUGUUGCAAACAGGAAAGCGGCAAAGGAGCAGGACGAAGCCAAGGCGAAGGGCUAGACGAUGUUGCAGACGAGAUGAGGCGAGGGAAUUAAACUGUGUGCAUGUCCAAAUGAUGGACUGACUGACUACACUUGGGCAUUUAUGCAAAAAUCCUGUACGAAAACUGUCAAAUAUGAAGGCAAAGGCACCGAAAGAAAAUGCGAUAAACCAAUAAGAGGUGAAAAUGCAUUAAGCUUCAUAAAACUAUCAAAAUUAAAUUACAGGGUAGCUUCUAAAAUAUU